GUCUGGUGGCGAGUGGCGAACGGGUGAGUAAUGUAUCGGAACGUGCCUAGUAGCGGGGGAUAACUACGCGAAAGCGUGGCUAAUACCGCAUACGCCCUACGGGGGAAAGCAGGGGAUCGCAAGACCUUGCACUAUUAGAGCGGCCGAUAUCGGAUUAGCUAGUUGGUGGGGUAACGGCUCACCAAGGCGACGAUCCGUAGCUGGUUUGAGAGGACGACCAGCCACACUGGGACUGAGACACGGCCCAGACUCCUACGGGAGGCAGCAGUGGGGAAUUUUGGACAAUGGGGGAAACCCUGAUCCAGCCAUCCCGCGUGUGCGAUGAAGGCCUUCGGGUUGUAAAGCACUUUUGGCAGGAAAGAAACGUCAUGGGUUAAUACCCCGUGAAACUGACGGUACCUGCAGAAUAAGCACCGGCUAACUACGUGCCAGCAGCCGCGGUAAUACGUAGGGUGCAAGCGUUAAUCGGAAUUACUGGGCGUAAAGCGUGCGCAGGCGGUUCGGAAAGAAAGAUGUGAAAUCCCAGAGCUUAACUUUGGAACUGCAUUUUU
rnacentral:rRNA from 1 species